ensembl:lncRNA NCMAP-DT NCMAP divergent transcript
CGUGCAGGUGAUCCUGGGGAGGCCGGAGAACGCGCCGGGGGUGCCAGGGUCCCGCACACUGGAGUGGCGGCGCCUCCCCGUGGUGUCCCCGCUCCUGGGUCCUUUUUGGGACUGGCUCUGGCACUCCCGGGCACUCAGUCCAGUAGAGAAGUCCAGCAGGAGGCUUCCAGGUCGGACUCCUCCGCGGGGUAAAGAGAGGGAAAGGGCCUCACAAACACACCCAGGAGCAUCUGGCGAUGGAGGAUGAGAAGACAAGAGAAUGACGGGGGCAGGGUCAGGGGUCUAAUCUCCUUGCGAGCCACCUGAUCUCCCCGGGCCUCUGUUUUCUCAUCUGUGAAAUGACGGGUUGGACGGCCUUGUCUCUGAGGCCUCAUCCAGUUCCACGUACAGGAAGAUAUAAAUGCAAAUGUGCAAAAAAAGGAAGAAGGAAAGAUGGACCAAGUUCACCUGUUUGCUGAGUUUUAGUUCUCGAAGGCAAUGGAACUGUUGCUAUCCACUUCUGCCUCUUAGUACCUUAAACCUCAGAGAUGCUCACUGGAACACUUUUUACAUGGAUUUGUCUUUGGUUUCAUCAGGUCAAAUCAGCUGCUACUCUACACGACCGUGUCUGCAGUACAGGCGUGGUGAGAAGACCUAUACCUCACUCGGCAGAGUCUCACCUAUGCUGUUCGCAGCAACGCAUCGGCCGCAGGCACAGAGCGCCAUGGCCAGAGCCCACCAGGGCAGCCGCCUCGCACCACAACCAAGGGCCUCACAGCGCGCAAUCAAAGAUGGAAAAGCAGAAGCUCAGAAAAUGGAGGCUAAGUAACUUGUUCAAGAUCACAGAGCAAGCAGAUGCCACAGCUGGAAUCUGAACCCAGAUAACCUAGAAUUGGUCCUGUUAUAAUUGAAGUUCCACUCCACCAGGAAUUUGUCAGCAAGAGACAGAUAGAAAUAAACAACAAAAACCAGCCUACAAAACAUAUGAAAACAACAGGUUUUAAAGAAUAACUGAAGUUGAGAUAUAUAAGACUGAUGC